CUGACUAAGGACAACAUCUGCAUGGAGUUUGUAUGUUCUCCCCGUGUUUGCGUGGGUUUCCUCUGGGUUCUCCGGUUUCCUCCCCAAGACCAAAGACAUAAUGAUAGGGACCUCAGAUUGUGAGCCCCAUUGGGGACAGUGAUGAUCAUGUCAU